rnacentral:tRNA from 1 species
AUGGGCCAUAGCUCAGCUGGGAGAGCGCCUGCUUUGCACGCAGGAGGUCUGCGGUUCGAUCCCGCUAGCCCACC